rnacentral:tRNA from 1 species
GGGGAUUUAGCUCAGUGGUAUGAGCGCCUGCCUUGCAAGCACAGGAUGGUGAGUUAAAUCCCCA